rnacentral:rRNA from 1 species
AGCGAACGCUGGCGGCAGGCCUAACACAUGCAAGUCGAGGGGUAGAAGUUGCUUGCAACUUUGAGACCGGCGCACGGGUGCGUAACGCGUAUGCAAUCUACCUUGUACAGAGGGAUAGCCCAGAGAAAUUUGGAUUAAUACCUCAUAGUAUUUUCAAGUGGCAUCACUUGAUUAUUAAAGUUCCAACGGUACAAGAUGAGCAUGCGUCCUAUUAGCUAGAUGGUAAGGUAACGGCUUACCAUGGCUACGAUAGGUAGGGGUCCUGAGAGGGAGAUCCCCCACCCUGGUACUGAGACACGGACCAGACUCCUACGGGAGGCAGCAGUGAGGAAUAUUGGUCAAUGGGCGCAAGCCUGAACCAGCCAUGCCGCGUGCAGGAAGACGGUCCUAUGGAUUGUAAACUGCUUUUGUACGGGAAGAAACACUCCCUCGUGAGGGAGCUUGACGGUACCGUAAGAAUAAGGAUCGGCUAACUCCGUGCCAGCAGCCGCCGUAAAAC